AAAUCUGAAAUGAGUACUCAGGGCCUUUGGCAAGACCCUUUGUUUGAAUUUUUGGAAACCUCUGCUUAGGCAGGGGUUA
rnacentral:snRNA from 1 species